CGAACGAUGAUGCUGGUGCUUGCACCGGUGGAUUAGUGGCGAACGGGUGAGUAACACGUGAGUAACCUGCCCCUGACUUCGGGAUAAGCCCGGGAAACUGGGUCUAAUACCGGAUAUGACUUCCUGCUGCAUGGCAGGGGGUGGAAAGAUUUAUCGGUUGGGGAUGGACUCGCGGCCUAUCAGCUUGUUGGUGAGGUAAUGGCUCACCAAGGCGACGACGGGUAGCCGGCCUGAGAGGGUGACCGGCCACACUGGGACUGAGACACGGCCCAGACUCCUACGGGAGGCAGCAGUGGGGAAUAUUGCACAAUGGGCGAAAGCCUGAUGCAGCGACGCCGCGUGAGGGAUGACGGCCUUCGGGUUGUAAACCUCUUUCAGUAGGGAAGAAGCCCCUUUUGGGGUGACAGUACUUGCAGAAGAAACG
rnacentral:rRNA from 1 species